GAUGAACGCUAGCUACAGGCUUAACACAUGCCAGUCGAGGGGAAACGACAUCGAAAUCUUGCUUUUGAUGGGCGUCGACCGGCGCACGGGUGAGUAACGCGUAUCCAACCUGCCCAUCACUUGGGAAUAACCUUGCGAAAGUAAGACUAAUACCCAAUGACAUCCCACGAAGACAUCUGAAUGGGAUUAAAGAUUUAUCGGUGAUGGAUGGGGAUGCGUCUGAUUAGCUUGUUGGCGGGGUAACGGCCCACCAAGGCAACGAUCAGUAGGGGUUCUGAGAGGAAGGUCCCCGACAUGGGAACUGAGACACGGUCCAAACUCCUACGGGAGGCAGCAGUGAGGAAGAUUGGGCAAUGGGCGAGAGCCUGAACCAGCCAAGUAGCGUGCAGGAUGACGGCCCUAUGGGUUGUAAACUGCUUUUAUAAGGGAAUAAAGUGGGUCUCGUGAGACUUUUUGCAUGUACCUUAUGAAUAAGGACCGGCUAAUUCCGUG
rnacentral:rRNA from 1 species